CAUUAUUGAAUGAACUUGGUGUGGUUGUUGCUGGCCCUCUUGCCGGGGCAUGUGCACACCCACCAUCCUCAUCUCCCCACUUGUGCACCUAUUGUAGACCUGGAUAGACUUUUCCGAGGCAACUCGGUCCUGAGGAAUGCUGCGCUCUCUGGGCAAGCUUUCCUUGUAUAUCCAGGCCUAUGUUUUUCAUAUACCCCAUAGUAUGUAACAAGAAUGUAUCAUUGGGCCUUUGUGCCUAUAAACCUUAUACAACUUUCAGCAACGGAUCUCUUGGCUCUCGCAUCGAUGAAGAACGCAGCGAAAUGCGAUAAGUAAUGUGAAUUGCAGAAUUCAGUGAAUCAUCGAAUCUUUGAACGCACCUUGCGCUCCUUGGUAUUCCGAGGAGCAUGCCUGUUUGAGUGUCAUUAAAUUCUCAACCUUAUUAGCUUGUGCUGAUAGUGGAUUGGAUGUGGGGGUCUCUUUUUUGCUGGCUUCUUCCUAGAUGUCAGCUCCCCUUAAAUGCAUUAGCUGGUGCCCUUGCGUGGACUUGUCUAUUGGUGUGAUAAUUAUCUACUCCAUGGAUGUCUGGGUUUUGCACUGCUUCUAACCGUCUGUUCAUUCGGACAAUACAUGACAAUUUGACCUCAAAUCA
rnacentral:sRNA from 1 species